GUAAGGCCUAUAUUCCAUACCAAUAUUUUAGCUUAGGCAUAUUCUACUUCCAAAUUUCUCUUUAGUAAGGAAUUCUAGUGAUACAAGUAGUAACUAUAUAUGUAUUUCCAUUUGAUAGGAGCAUAAUUAUGCGACGAUAUGAUGGUUAAUUCCCCUCUUUACUUUAUUAGUUUAUCGUAUUUUCCAUUUGAUUUAGUUAUUUUUAUGUUUAUUAGGUGUUUCGGAGCAAAGAAAGGAAUAUGAAGCAAAAGAGGAGAAAUCUUGAAGGAUUAGGAAUUCAUGUCGUGUAAGGAAAGAAUUAUGGGAUUUGCCAGAAAUUAUCAUCUAACUUCGACAGAGGAUUGUGAUCAGUUCACAACGAUCCAAACAAUGAGUUAUAUAUCAAUAGAAAGCUACAAGAGUCUACUUUCUAGAACUUUUUACGGAUCGUCAAUACCUAUUUUGUAGAAGAAGUUAUGAUCAUUUUAGUGGCCGAAGGUCAGUCUGCCCGAAUUUCUGAUUUGGACCGUAACUUCAAUUUCAAGGCCCAAUCCAAAUCAGCUGACCCAUGGACGGAAAUUGAGGGUUCUCUAACCUAAUAUCAUCUGAUACACGAGAGGAAACGAAGAAAAAGAAGACAAGUCGGGAAGAAAAGAACACAAGAAUCAGACGGAACAAGAUUGAUCUCUUCUCAAGGAUUCUCCAAGCUCGGUUAUUAUUGUCUUCCCCUUCCAUGAACUCUUUUGUGUUUUUAAUUUUCAUUAUGCGCAACUAAACUCAUAGUAGCUAGGGGGCUGUUGAAGCCCCUAGACAUGAUUCAUAACAUGCUUUGAUUUUCAAUUUGUUUUUGCAAUUAAUGAGAUUGAGGUUUUGUUUACCGAUUGUUCAUCGAUAAAUUCUUUGUGUGUGUGCUUUGGAGGCCUACUUAGUAUACAUGCUAGGGUUCUAAUACUUUGAUUAUUUGAUGCCUAGGUCAAUAUCGGAUCCCUCAAAUUGUCUAGAGAAGUAAUCGGUAGUUUUCACUAGCGAGUAGACGAAACCCUCGGUUUAGCAAGGCGCUAAAUUUAUUGCGAUGCCUAGUGAUUGCUCAAACUCUUUUCAUGCUUAUUGAUNNNNNNNNNNNNNNNNNNNNAAAGUGUGUUGUGUGUGAUUGUCGGGGGUGGAUACUUCCUCCCUAGCUAGUCUCAUUAUCUUGAUUUUCAACUACUUUGAAAUCAGUUUUCAGUUUUCUUAUCUUCUGUUCGUCAUAUUCCUGUAUUUUAUUUCCCUAUCAAAUCAACUCCGAUUUAUCUCAAAUUUUGUGUGCUAGACGCUCUGUGUGUCUAGUACACCUCUGUAAAUUUUCGUGUUUUUCUGAACAUUCUAGGUUAGGUUUUACUUUUAUUUUUCGACUGUUGUUCAAUAGGAGCUGCAGUCACGUUUUGUGACUUUUGUUGAAGCUUUUAGUUUAACUUAAUCCUCUGCGGGAGACCCUUAUUUCUCUAUAUUACAAUCGACAAAUUUGCAGGAGAAUAAGGAAAAUAAAUAGCUUUUAAUUUAGCUAUCACCAUUGGUUUGCAAAUUGGAUGUAGUUAUAUCCGGCUCGUAAGAUGAAAAUUUCUUGGCUUAUCUAUCUCAAAUUCUCAAUUAAACCUUCUUUUAAUAAUUUAUGCGGGUAUUCGUGUUUAGAGUCUUAAGAAAGGUCAAAUAACAAAUUAGUAAACCUUGUUUCUUGAAGGGGAGCUUUGCGCUUCUAACUUGUAUUUUCUUUUGACAGACAAAUACCAAUAUUUCUAUUUGUUGGAAUCCAAUGGAGCCAUUCAACUUCACUGUUGUGAGUGCACUUAUUUACAUUUUAUCUUUUGCAAAUUGUUCGGAGGAAUGAAAAGUUGUCUAGCAUUGGGUAGAUGUGCUUUGCUGGCUGCCCUUUAGAUGAUUUGGAGGGAUAGGCACAAAUAAAUUUUUGAGGAAACUUGUGAGGAUGUGGGAAAGGGUUCAUUUUUGGGCAUCUCUCUUGGCAUCGGUCUUUUCAAGAGUUUAAAGAUUACUCUCUUCAAGCCUUAUUUGUCAUUGGGAUGCAAUUGUGUUCUAGUUCUUAAGUGCUUGUCUUUAUUCUUUCCUUUGUAUUUUAUGUGGAUAUAGUUAUGUUUUAACAUUUGGUUCUACCACUUUCAGUCCACUUAAGGAAAACAGACGUAUGUCUUGUUUCUGUACUACAGUCUGUCAAACUGUAUUAGAUUGUUCUUUAGUGAGAUCGUUCCUGACACCGUCAUUUUCGAUGACUUCGAGAGGUUCUUUUCACUCUUCUUUCACUCACAAACAACUAGUAUUUGAAAUUACUGUCAUUUUCUUGUUUGCGUCCAUGUUUUGUUGAAAUGUUGAUACUUUAUUUGCUUGUUUGAGUUGAUGAGAGUGACUUGAUCUUCACUUCACUUGCCUGUUUUCCGAUUAUUUAACUACUUAUUUUCCUUCUUUUUUUGUGUUAUCUGAUCAACUAAAAAUGAUCUCGAAAAUCAUGCAUUUCCCCAAUUAAUUGAAGGUUUGGUUUACUGAUUAUCUGUAAAUAGGUUUCCUCCACUAGUGGAAGUAUAUCAUGGCAUUAUUUGGCUAUUCCUGUGUCUUGAACCUUGGAUAUGAUUUCAGACUUUUCAAUAUACACGUAGUUUUCUUUUAUGGAUGAGCAGAUUGUAUAUAUGGAUUAUUUGAUAGAGUUUGCAUUCAUUGGUAUGUUAAUAUCAUUGCAUUUGCUAGAUGUAUCUCAUAUCAUUGAUAUGUUAGACUAAAAGUGAGCAAAGAUUUGUGUUACCCUUCUUUACUCUUUAGAAAUUUGAACUAUUAUUUGAUAUCUCAUAUCAUAGACGUAUCUCAUAUCAUUGAUAUCUCAUAUCAACUACUAUUUGUGUUUGUGUUGGAAAUCAGAUUUUCGGGAUAAUGUCAUGUUCAUGUCUAACUUUAACAUUAUGUUUUUCAGUGGGACAGAAGAAACAAACUUGUCUACCCCCAAGAUUAUUUGGAUGUGUUAAGGAACGAGUGGGCAAAGUUCAUCAUCAGCAAAUACCUGUUGGGUGCAUGAUCUGGUCUGUUUUGGUGAACUUGGUGCUUUCUAUAUGUAUGUGGUAGUACUUUGCUUUUGAACUUAGUGUUUCUAUAUAUUCGGAACAGCUAUAUGGUAGUACGUACUUUGUGCAUUUCUCAUGUUGGAAUGCUUUUGGACAUGUAAGACUAUCUAGGAGCUUAACUAGUUGCUUGUUUUCAGUUUAUUAUUCAGCUGUAAUGUUGUUUGUGGAAGCUUGAAUGAUACAUAUGGAAGCUGAAAUGCAAUGUUUUAUGGUAUCAGUCAAUUUGUGCAGCAGUUUCUUUUGUGAUGUUUGUGUGUAAAACUUGGACAACAAAGUCUGUCCACAUGAAAAUGCAACUGUUGUAUGAUUCUCAUCAAACAAGAAAGCAGAAUGCUAUAUCUAUUUUGUGAUAUAACGGUCUAAAUAUUUCAGCUGUAGGUUAUUCAACGUCACACAACAGUAAAGAUAGGGAAUAAACCGUUGUAGCUUACUGAAAAACACACAAUGGUAGAAAUGAAAACCAACAGUUGUCUGAAAGGGUAAAAUACAACAAAAAUGUUUUAUUGUUUGUUGUCUGAGUGGACUUGUCGAUGCCGCUCAUGUCGCGCAUGGCAUCGAUCUGCGUAGCGACUUAUACAACGAAAGUAUUGAACUGUUGAGCAAAAUGUGAUCACACAACGGUGAUUUUCACACUUGUUUGAAGAUUCAAUCAGACAAGCCCGAGAUAUACAACGGAAAACCUAUAGUCACACAACGCCGUUGUGUGUUGACAAAUCUGUAGUAGUGAGACUUGCAAAUUUUACAUUUCGGUUGGUUCAAUCUUAAGAAUCAUUUUUAUUUCCACAAAGUCUACAUUUAAGUGAUUUUUCUCAUCUAAAUGGUAGAUAUUUCUCAUGAAAAUAGUAGUUGUGUCUUAUGUUAAAUGUAGACUUUGCAACUUUUACCUUCCAUUAUUGAUUCAAUCUUAAGAACAAUUUUGAUUUCCAGAAAGUCUACUUUUUUGUGAUUUUGCUUAUCUAAAUGGUACACAUUUCUCAUGAAAAUUGUAGUUGUGUCUUAUAUUAAAUGUAAACUUUGCAACUUUCACCUUCAAUUAUUGAUUCAAUCUCAAGAACAAUUUUGAUUUCCAGAAAGUCUACUUUUU
rnacentral:lncRNA from 1 species